rnacentral:rRNA from 1 species
GAUGAACGCUGGCGGCGUGCUUAACACAUGCAAGUCGAACGGAAAGGCCGAAGCUUGCUUCGGUACUCGAGUGGCGAACGGGUGAGUAACACGUGGGUGAUCUGCCCUGUACUUCGGGAUAAGCUUGGGAAACUGGGUCUAAUACCGGAUAUGACGAUCUCUUGGAUGGGGUUGUGGAAAGCUUUUGCGGUAUGGGAUGAGCUCGCGGCCUAUCAGCUUGUUGGUGGGGUAAUGGCCUACCAAGGCGUCGACGGGUAGCCGGCCUGAGAGGGUGUACGGCCACAUUGGGACUGAGAUACGGCCCAGACUCCUACGGGAGGCAGUAGUGGGGAAUAUUGCACAAUGGGCGCAAGCCUGAUGCAGCGACGCCGCGUGGGGGAUGACGGCCUCCGGGUUGUAAACUCCUUUCGCAAUCGACGAAGCCUUUUGGUGACGGUAGGUUGAGAAGAAGCACCGGCUAACUACGU